UACAGAGGUCUCAAGCGUUGUUCGGGUUCAUUGGGCGUAAAGGGUGCGUAGGUGGCGCGCUAAGUCAGGUGUGAAAUUUCGGAGCUUAACUCCGAAACUGCAUUUGAUACUGGCGUGCUUGAGGACUGGAGAGGAGACUGGAAUUCAUGGUGUAGCAGUGAAAUGCGUAGAGAUCAUGAGGAAGACCAGUGGCGAAGGCGGGUCUCUGGACAGUUCCUGACGCUGAGGCACGAAGGUCAGGGGAGCAAACGGG
rnacentral:rRNA from 1 species